rnacentral:lncRNA from 1 species
GGGCGAUCCCCAGGAAUGAACCUAAUUGCUCCUGGGCGAUCCCAGCGUAGUAAAAAUACUACUUAAAAUACAAUUUGUUCCCGGACAGGAAUUAACCUAUCUGAUGUAUUAUUGAAUUGGGGGAGUAUGAUUCCCCUGGAAUUAAAAAGCCAAAUGAAAUGAGUUCAUAAAAUGAAAGAGUGAAAGCCCCCAAGAAAUAAUAAUGCUUACAAAUACAAAUGUUAAAAAAAAAAAAUAACAAAACAAUAAUUUCAAAAAUGACACAUUUUCUGUUGUGUUUAGAAAUAACCCUCUGAUCAGUUCUGAAGGAGUGACCACAGAAAUCACUUUCUCUCUAACCCAGGUGGAUUAAAAGCUGUCUUAGAUAGUUAAAAUUUCUUGC